rnacentral:rRNA from 1 species
GUACUGCUCAGUAACACGUGGAUAACCUGCCCUUAGGACUGGCAUAACCCCGGGAAACUGGGGAUAAUUCCGGAUAGUUCAUGGUAGCUGGAAUGCUCCAUGAUCGAAAGCUAUUGCGCCUAAGGAUGGGUCUGCGGUCUAUCAGGUAGUAGUGGGUGUAAUGUACCUACUAGCCGACGACGGAUACGGGUUGUGGGAGCAAGAGCCCGGGGAUGGAUUCUGAGACAUGAAUCCAGGCCCUACGGGGCGCAGCAGGCGCGAAAACUUUACAAUGCGGGAAACCGCGAUAAGGGGACACCGAGUGCCAGCAUCUUAUGUUGGCUGUCCGCAUGUAUAAAUCACAUGUGUUAGCAAGGGCCGGGCAAGACCGGUGCCAGCCGCCGCGGUAACACCGGCGGCCCGAGUGGUGGCCACUAUUAUUGGGUCUAAAGGGUCCGUAGCCGGUUUGGUCAGUCUUCCGGGAAAUCUGACGGCUUAACCGUUAGGCUUUCGGGGGAUACUACCAGGCUUGGGACCGGGAGAGGUAAGAGGUACUACGGGGGUAGGAGUGAAAUCUUGUAAUCCUCGUGGGACCACCAGUGGCGAAGGCGUCUUACCAGAACGGGUCCGACGGUGAGGGACGAAAGCUGGGGGCACGAACCGGAUUAGAUACCCGGGUAGUCCCAGCCGUAAACUAUGCUCGCUAGGUGUCAGGGACGGUGCGACCGUUUCUGGUGCCGCGGGGAAGCCGUGAAGCGAGCCACCUGGGAAGUACGGUCGCAAGGCUGAAACUUAAAGGAAUUGGCGGGAAUCACUAGUGC